GACAGAGCACUCGCUGUGUCCUAGGCAAUGUGGGUGUUCGCUUGCUGAACCAUCACAACCCGGGGGAGAUGGGAAGCAGGUUUAGAGACCUACCCAGGUCUCCCAGCUGUGAGGAGGCAAACUGGACCGGGAUGAGAAAUUAGGCUCCUAAUCGCCCCUCCAUCUGGCCCCCUGAGUAUGGGAACCAGCGGAGCAGCCGGAAGAGCAGAUGGCCUGGGGACAGCCCAGGUGCCUGAGCCCCUCCCCCUCGCCUGCUCGGUACUCAGCUGACUUCCUGUCCCUGGAAGAGCAGCUGCGGGUCUGCUGGGGCAGGGCGGCCCCUUCCUGUGGUUCAGGUAGAGCGCAACCUCAUGCUUUCUUAGCAUCCUCCCUCUCUCCCUUCCCUAGAAGUCAGACCUGGGUACCCCAGAUUGCCGCCCAGAGCCUGGGGUCUGCCCAGAGUCCCCAGCGGCAGGUGAGGGUGGAGUGGGCAGAGAGAAGGAGCUGCAGGCCCCGGUUGAGGAGGGCUCCAGGGGACCUGAGAACUCGGCCUUCAGCUCUCAAAGAUCACUUGGAGGCCUUCCCCAUCCCGUCUCCUCUCUGACAAUGGUGAAGAGGCAGAUGAAGGCCCUUUAGCAUCACAUCCCUGGCUCUCCGCGGCCUGAUUGUUUGGAUUCAAUGGGAACAUCUGAGGGAUGGAGGCUGCUGUGUGCCCGUGUCCACCUCACUUCCAGACACCCAGGGCUUUGCAAAGAGCUGGCUGUUGGGCAUCCCCUGGACUUUUCCCUAGGUAACAUUGCCAAGGAACUGUGGCACUGGCCAGAUUUCCCAUGCCUGGCCCGGUGGCUCUACCUCUCUCUCUCUCUCUCUCUCCCAUGGAAGCUCGGCAUAAGCUUUCUGGAGGAUGCUCUUCCUUGUGCGAGGGGUCAUCUGAGGUUGCUUACACUGAGCUCCUCACCAGAGAAAUGCAGGAGGCAUCCCUGCAGCUAAAUGAGGCAACGUCUGUGGAGGACCAAGCCAUGCCAGGCAGGCUACAGCCGUAUGCUCCCUCCCAGAGAGACAUCGCCCUUGGCCAUGCAGCCCUUGGCUAGGCCAACAGCUGGGCUUCAUCCCUGGGUGCCUUUUCAGCCCAUCCUUUGCUCAAGGUGUCCUUAACAGAGCAUAAAGGGACAUUCCACUUGUCUCUCUGCCCAAGAGCAAAGAAGGACACAUUUCUCUGGCUCUUCCUCAAAGAUGCAAAGAAAGAAAAAAAGAUGUUCUUUAUCUGAGAUCCUACAGACCCAACCAGCAGUCCUGGGUUGAAUAGUGUCCCCAGAAUUCAUGUCCACGUGGCACGUGUGCAUCUGACCUAAUUUGGAAAUAGGGUCUUUGCAGAUAUAAUUAGUUAAGAUGAGGUCAUAGUGGAUUAGUUUGGGCCCUAAUCCAAUAACUGGUGUCCUUAUAAGAAGAGGAGAUUUGGACACAGACACAGAGAAAAAGGCUGUGUGAAGACAGAAGCAGAGAUGCGAGUGACGCAUCUAUCCACCAAGGAUUGCCAAGGACUGCUGGCAGCCACCAAGCUGAGAAGAGCAAGGAAGGAACCCCCCGCCCCCCAAGGCUUCAGAGGGAUUGCAGCCCCACCGACACCUCGACUUUGGACUCCUGGCCUCCAGAGCUGUGAGAAGGCCAGGGGGAGACCAAGGCCAACACCAGUCUCAUACAGUCCUUGUCUGUGUCCAGCAAGGAGGGGCCCUGGUUCAGUUGUCUGAAUCCUGCCUUCCAGGCUGAGAACACCUUUUGAUCCUGGGCCAGGCCAGCGUUUUCCUCCCCGAGGAGAGCUCAGACCCCUGCCAUCACCUCCACCCCGAGUCCUGGUUGGUCGCUGCCUAGUUAGCUGUACUGGUGGAGGGACCUAGACUGGGGUGACUCACCGUCACACAUCAGCCUAUGGAAGGAUAGUGCACAGUGCACGGCCCGGGGGAUGGUACUGUGUGCUGCAUUCACAGACAGAGCCAGAAUGUGCUGAGCAGCAUGUGCGUGAGCAACGUGUCCACCCUGCACGCGUCCGGGAAGUCCUCCCGUCAUCUGUGACCACUUCCUCGCCUGUCUCUUGGGGGUCUGCAGCCUCUACUGGGUAUCUGACCCUUUUCAUCGGCUCCUCUCCAGAUGUCUCUCUUACCAGCCACAGAGCCCAGCCCCGUGACCCCAGGGCCUGUAGACUCUGCCUGAGUUGAGGCCCCUCCCCUCCUGUGCUCAAGACUGACCGGCUCAGUGCUCAGCCUGGUGUGGGCACAAGGUCUCUUGCUGCAGCUGGGCCCCUUGGCUGACCUUCGCAGCUCCUUCUCUUCGACUGGAGAGGCCUGGCAGUGUGCCUGCGGGGCGGGCCCCGCUACUCUCCUGGGCUCCUCCCCUCCACUCCAGGGCUCUGGCCGUAGCCUGGUCAGGGUCCUUGCUGACUUGUCAGCCAAACCCUGGAGUGAUGGCCCGAGGAGGCCAGUGGGGAAGCCCCAGUGUGUAGGACAGUAGUCCACAGCCAGGGACUGCCUCCCCCCCAUCACUGGGCAAUGCUGGUUGGCCAGUUGGUCUCUGAAUAUCUUCUAGAUGGCCUCCCUGCCAGAUCCCCUUGCCUACUUUCACCAGGAGCCAACCUUCAAGGGAUACUGAAAAAGGCAGUGGAUCGCUGGAGGACUACUCCUGGAAGCCAGCCUGCCUCCCUCUCAGAGCAGGCUCCUCCCCACCCAGCCUCCUCUUCAUAGGAUCCUGUAACAGAAAAGUUACAUAGAGGUCAUCUCAUUUGUCCCCCAGCUUCCAGAAAGAGAGUUUAGGGUGGUAUUGGGGUUCUCCGAGGCUUCAAGCAAAAUCUCUUACCUUGGGUUGGCCAGAGGUCUAACUGGAAUUUCCUUAGGAAUUCUAUGUCCUUUGGGAGGACAGCUCUGAACAUCUGAGUCUCCCUCCUGCAGAGAGGUGGGAUGAAGCUGGCAUUCCCUACAACCGCCCAAGCUCUCCACAGGUGGAAUGACGGCCCUGGGACUGUCUCACAGGGCUGAGCUGGCCUCUGGUGAAUGACCGGUGUGGACCCAACUGCCUGAGGAGCCUUUCUAGCCCCCGCUAGGUAGUGGGGACUCUCAUAUGCAGACGUUAGCAGUAGUGGGGAAGGUACGAGACUUUCGUCAGGUGAUGAGUGUUCUAAGUCGGCUUCCACUGCUGAUUAUCUGCGUGCUUUGGGGCAGGUGUAAAUCCCCUCUACACCUUAAUUUGUUCACUGGAAAAUGCAGUCUAUUGCAUUUUACCCACCUCACUUGCAUCGUAGGCAUAUAGGGAGCAUGGGAUGGCACCGCGUAACAGGAUGCAUCUUGAGAAAAACAGAAACGCUAUUUAUACAAACAUAAGGUACUAAAAAUUAAAGAUGUCUGCUGGUGUCCCAAACUAAAAAGUUGUGGAUGACUUAAUAUUUUAACGACCUCUGAAACCCAAUUAUUUAAAGGCAAUUCUGCUUUUGUACAGCUACGGGUCUAGUCCUGGUGAUGGCCGCGGGGUGCCACCAUAAUCUGCUGGGUUUUGUAAAGAACAUAAAAGAGCAGAAGAUACAGUGCCUGGUACAGAGUAGGCAUUUGAUAAAUAAUCACAGAAAGAAGGAAUAAGAGUGAGUUUCUUCCUUCAAAGAGUUCACAGUUCAGUUUGGAAGAAAUCAAGAAACCGUAACACCAUGUGACCAAGUGAUAAACUCAGAGGAUGCCUUCUGAGGGAAGAGAGGUCUCCAGGACUGCAGGAGUCCAGGAGAGCUUCAGGGAGGAGGCGGGAAAGGAGGCCGCCUGGAAGAGAGGGGCAGGGCAGGUGGGUGGGCAAUUGGGCUGGAUAAUCCCAACAGGACGCCACACAGGCUCACAGGUGCGCAAGGGGGUGAAGUGCAGGGCAGAUGGGGAAAGCAUCCUCAUGGAAGGAAGCAGAUCUACCAGCGUGGGGUGCAGGGGGUGGGUGCUGACCAGGCUAGGUUUCCACUCAGGGGAGAGCCUGAGGAGUUAGAACCCAGCUGAGAAGAAAAUGCUAAAGGAACUGAUGUGGAUCCUGCAGGGUGGGCCUUGUGUGUGACGUAACGAAAGCAGUAUUUUUAGAAGAUGAGUCUGGUAUGGAUAUGCCCGAUGGGGACAUACCACACUUCUUGAAGUUCCCAAAAGUUUUUUUCCCUUUUCCGGGCCAUUUCCCUCUUUCAGAUCAGUAGAAUGCCCCUGUGUCCCACACAUCCCACAAGCCGCCUGCCAGCGGAGGGAACACCUGCUGUUUUGCCUGAGCUCACGAGUGUCACCUCUUCUGGGAAACCACUGUAGGUCAUUUCCUCCUGGGGGCCCCCCAGCUGUAUGCCGUAUAACAUUUUAUUUUUAUACUCAUUCCUUUUUAGGAUACUUCUUGGUUUUCAUGUCUGGUUCCCGUUUCGGACUGUAAGCCUCUUGAAGUCUGAAUGCCUCCUGGUUGACAGUGAUCUCCAGCAUUGGUCACAGUGCCCAGAACGGGGUUCCCACCUGCAUUGGGAUCGCCCUGGAACGUUGUUAAGGCAGGGGUCAGAUGCUGCUAACGUACCCUAAAACGCACAGACACUGCAGCCCCCAUCACACAACCAUCCACAAAGAUCAUAUUGCGAACAGCGCCCCCUGCAGUUGUGCAGCACAGCGGCCUCCUGAAAGACCAGGUUUUAUUUUUAUUAUUAUUUUUAAAGAUUUUAUUUGUUUAUUCAUGAAAGAGAGAGAGAGAGAGAGAGAGAGAGAGAGAGGCAGAGACAGGCAGAAGGAUAAGCAGGCUCCAUGCAGGGAGCCCGAUGUGGGACUCGAUCCCGGGACUCCAGGAUCACGCCCUGGGCCAAAGGCAGACGCUAAACCGCUGAGCCACCCAGACAUCCCUGGACCACAUUUUAUAUUUCGCCUCUUUACCUUCAACACCUUGUGCGUUAUAGAUACUACAUAAUGUUUUCUGUAUGUAAAGGAAGACUGGAGAUUUGAGGGGAAGGAAAUGAAAGGCAAUACAUUUUCUUGUAUAAUGUACAUAAUGAACAA